ensembl:lncRNA
CGAGCGAUGUGAAGGGCACGCACGCGCGCACAGACACACCUAUGCAAAUUUUUAUUUAUCGAGACAAGAGACCGGACUACGAGAGAGGGCAGAAUUGUUUUUGCUGACUGAAGACAGUUUUAGGAUGAAUGCCUACAAUAUCAUCUGUGAAAUGGACAAACUACACGUAACUAAGGAAUAUGUGGAUGAGGUAUGCAUGUACCCCUUUGAAGACAAAGGUAAAACAAGUUUCAGGUUGGAUAUUCGAUGGAUAUUCACCUGCAGUUUUCCUUACGUCCACCUACAGCAGUUAGGGACCGUCAACAUAGUGAUAAAUCACAUUUUUGACAUUUCAAUAGCUCUUUAACCAUUACUCCUAAAACUUUCAAAACUGGUUCUAGCUAAUUUGAUGACAUAGACACACAUUGCGCACACUUUUUUUUGUAGGUUUACAUCUCGCACUAUUUUAAAUUCAUUAUUUACAUUUUUGAAUUUCAAUAGCUCUUUGGUCAUGUGACUUACUGACUUCAAACAAGGUUCAGAAUGUACACUCAGUGGCCCUACGCAAUGCACACCCUUUAGUUUGUCCAUUUUAAACUCACACGUUUUUACAUGAAUUUUUCUAACUUUCAAAUGUCAAUAGCUCCUUGGUCAUGUGACCUACUGACUUCAAACAAGGUUCAGAAUUGUCCAUUUUAAUCUCACCAGAUUUUACAUUAAUUUGCCUGCUCUGCCCCCCUGAAGGACAGUGUCACUCACACACCUAUUCACUUGGGCCUUCUCCCUGGGGCCUUUCUGACCUCCAGGCAGGCCCCCAUUGACCUGGUGACCUCUGACUCCUGACCUCUAGGCCUACACUCCCUGCCCGCCUGCCUGCCCUGGGCCUGAGAGUGUAUAGCUUACUCCCUGGAACUACAGACCUCCAUACCUACUCUCCCUACCCGGUCAACACCCCCUCUUGGUCUUAGAGUAUAGCUUACUCCCUGGAAUUACUAAGACAUCUAUAGUCCCGCUGUCAGGAACCACGUGCACCUGGUAACCCGUAACAGGCUCUGUGCAUCUGGUAACCCGUAACAGGCUCUGUGUACCUGGUAACCCAUAACAGGCUCUGUGGUUC